rnacentral:lncRNA from 1 species
GUUGCAGUUGCUGUAGGAUUCUAAAUCCAGUGAUUGUUUCAAACUGAGCAUCAACAACAAAAACAUUUGUAUGAUAUCUAUAUUUCAAUCAUGGACCAAAAUCAACAUUUGAAUAAAACAGCAGAGGCACAACCUUCAGAGAAUAAGAAAACAAGAUACUGCAAUGGAUUGAAGUGUUCUUGGCAGCUCUGUCACUCAGCUUUAUUGCUAAGACACUAGGUGCAAUUAUUAUGAAAAGUUCCAUCAUUCAUAUAGAACGGAGAUUUGAGAUAUCCUCUUCUCUUGUUGGUUUUAUUGACGGAAGCUUUGAAAUUGAAAUUUGCUUGUGAUUGUAUUUGUGAGUUACUUUGGAUCCAAACUACAUAGACCAAAGUUAAUUGGAAUCGGUUGUUUCAUUAUGGGAAUUGGAGGUGUUUUGACUGCUUUGCCACAUUUCUUCAUGGGAUAUACAGGUAUUCUAAAGAAACUAAUAUCAAUUCAUCAGAAAAUUCAACAUCGACCUUAUCCACUUGUUUAAUUAAUCAAAUUUUAUCACUCAAUAGAGCAUCACCUGAGAUAGUGGGAAAAGUUGUUUAAAGGAAUCUGGGUCAUACAUGUGGAUAUAUGUGUUCAUGGGUAAUAUGCUUCGUGGAAUAGGGGAGACUCCCAUAGUACCAUUGGGGCUUUCUUACAUUGAUGAUUUCGCUAAAGAAGGACAUUCUUCUUUGUAUUUAGUAUAUUGAAUGCAAUAGCAAUGAUUGGUCCAAUCAUUGGCUUUACCCUGGGAUCUCUGUUUUCUAAAAUGUACGUGGAUAUUGGAUAUGUAGAUCUAACACUAUCAGGAUAACUCCUACUGAUUCUCGAUGGGUUGGAGCUUGGUGGCUUAAUUUCCUUGUGUCUGGACUAUUCUCCAUUAUUUCUUCCAUACCAUUCUUUUUCUUGCCCCAAACUCCAAAUAAACCACAAAAAGAAAGAAAAGCUUC